ACGGGUGAGUAAUAUAUCGGAACGUGCCCUAGAGUGGGGGAUAACUAGUCGAAAGAUUAGCUAAUACCGCAUACGAUCUAAGGAUGAAAGUGGGGGAUCGCAAGACCUCAUGCUCCUGGAGCGGCCGAUAUCUGAUUAGCUAGUUGGUGGGGUAAAAGCCUACCAAGGCGACGAUCAGUAGCUGGUCUGAGAGGACGACCAGCCACACUGGGACUGAGACACGGCCCAGACUCCUACAGGAGGCAGCAGUGGGGAAUUUUGGACAAUGGGGGCAACCCUGAUCCAGCAAUGCCGCGUGAGUGAAGAAGGCCUUCGGGUUGUAAAGCUCUUUUGUCAGGGAAGAAACGGUUCCAGCUAAUAUCUGGAGCUAAUGACGGUACCUGAAGAAUAAGCACCGGCUAACUACGUGCCAGCAGCCGCGGUAAUACGUAGGGUGCAAGCGUUAAUCGGAAUUACUGGGCGUAAAGCGUGCGCAGGCGGUUGUGUAAGUCAGAUGUGAAAUCCCCGGGCUCAACCUGGGAAUUGCAUUUGAGACUGCACGGCUAGAGUGUGUCAGAGGGGGGUAGAAUUCCACGUGUAGCAGA
rnacentral:rRNA from 1 species